GUGCCAGCCGCCGCGGUAAUACGUAGGUGGCAAGCGUUAUCCGGAAUUAUUGGGCGUAAAGCGCGCGUAGGCGGUUUUUUAAGUCUGAUGUGAAAGCCCACGGCUCAACCGUGGAGGGUCAUUGGAAACUGGAAAACUUGAGUGCAGAAGAGGAAAGUGGAAUUCCAUGUGUAGCGGUGAAAUGCGCAGAGAUAUGGAGGAACACCAGUGGCGAAGGCGACUUUCUGGUCUGUAACUGACGCUGAUGUGCGAAAGCGUGGGGAUCAAACAGGAUUAG
rnacentral:rRNA from 1 species